rnacentral:rRNA from 1 species
UACACAUGCAAGUCGAGCGGUAACAGGGGGUGCUUGCACCCCGCUGACGAGCGGCGGACGGGUGAGUAAUGCAUAGGAAUCUGCCCAGUAGUGGGGGAUAGCCCGGGGAAACCCGGAUUAAUACCGCAUACGCCCUUUGGGGGAAAGCAGGGGAUCUUCGGACCUUGCGCUAUUGGAUGAGCCUAUGUCGGAUUAGCUAGUUGGUGGGGUAAAGGCCUACCAAGGCGACGAUCCGUAGCUGGUCUGAGAGGAUGAUCAGCCACAUCGGGACUGAGACACGGCCCGAACUCCUACGGGAGGCAGCAGUGGGGAAUAUUGGACAAUGGGGGCAACCCUGAUCCAGCCAUGCCGCGUGUGUGAAGAAGGCUUUCGGGUUGUAAAGCACUUUCAGUGAGGAGGAAAACCUUCUGGUUAAUACCCAUGAGGCUUGACGUUACUCACAGAAGAAGCACCGGCUAACUCCGUGCCAGCAGCCGCGGUAAUACGGAGGGUGCAAGCGUUAAUCGGAAUUACUGGGCGUAAAGCGCGCGUAGGUGGUUUGAUAAGCGAGAUGUGAAAGCCCCGGGCUUAACCUGGGAACGGCAUUUCGAACUGUCAGGCUAGAGUGUGG